rnacentral:rRNA from 1 species
UAGGGAAUCUUCGGCAAUGGACGAAAGUCUGACCGAGCAACGCCGCGUGAGUGAAGAAGGUUUUCGGAUCGUAAAACUCUGUUGUUAGAGAAGAACAAGGACGUUAGUAACUGAACGUCCCCUGACGGUAUCUAACCAGAAAGCCACGGCUAACUACGUGCCAGCAGCCGCGGUAAUACGUAGGUGGCAAGCGUUGUCCGGAUUUAUUGGGCGUAAAGCGAGCGCAGGCGGUUUCUUAAGUCUGAUGUGAAAGCCCCCGGCUCAACCGGGGAGGGUCAUUGGAAACUGGGAGACUUGAGUACAGAAGAGGAGAGUGGAAUUCCAGGUGUAGCGGUGAAAUGCGUAGAUAUAUGGAAGAGCAACAGUGGCGAAGGCAGCUCUCUGGUCUGUAACUGACGCUGAGGCUCGAAAGCGUGGGGAGCAAACAGG